rnacentral:tRNA from 1 species
GGGGAUGUAGCUCAGUUGGUAGAGCGCCUGCUUUGCAAGCAGGAUGUCGUCGGUUCGAUUCCGGUCAUCUCCACCA